AGUGAACGCUGGCGGUGGGCCUAACACAUGCAAGUCGAACGGCAGCACAGUAAGAGCUUGCUCUUACGGGUGGCGAGUGGCGGACGGGUGAGGAAUACAUCGGAAUCUACUUUUUCGUGGGGGAUAACGUAGGGAAACUUACGCUAAUACCGCAUACGACCUACGGGUGAAAGCAGGGGAUCUUCGGACCUUGCGCGAAUGAAUGAGCCGAUGUCGGAUUAGCUAGUUGGCGGGGUAAAGGCCCACCAAGGCGAGGAUCCGUAGCUGGUCUGAGAGGAUGAUCAGCCACACUGGAACUGAGACACGGUCAAGGCUCCUACGGGAGGCAGCAGUGGGGAAUAUUGGACAAUGGGCGCAAGCCUGAUCCAGCCAUACCGCGUGGGUGAAGAAGGCCUUCGGGUUGUAAAGCCCUUUUGUUGGGAAAGAAAAGCAGCAGGUUAAGACCCCGCUGUUCUGACGGUACCCAAAGAAUAAGCACCGGCUAACUUCGUG
rnacentral:rRNA from 1 species